ACGCUCGACACCUACGGAGGCAGCAGCGAGGGAUAUUGGUCAAUGGGGGAAACCCUGAACCAGCAACGCCGCGUGAGGGAUGACGGUCUUCGGAUUGUAAACCUCUGUCCUCUGUGAAGAUAAUGACGGUAGCAGAGGAGGAAGCUCCGGCUAACUACGUGCCAACAGCCGCGGUAAUCUGAGCGGGCUGGCAAGGC
rnacentral:rRNA from 1 species